CCAACUGUGAUGUCACUGUGAAAGCACAUACCUAAGCAGUCAUGUGGAAAACAGAACGCUGCCUCUCACAGCAAAGGAGAGCCUUGUCAGAACAGGAUCAAUCAGGAGGGAGCUCUGCAAAAGGGAACCCUGUUGAACGUUCAUGCUGCUCUCAAAGCUUUACACAGCAGAGGGACAUGGAGUUUUGUGAAGAAAAAGCUGGCUGUCAUGCUGCAAACUCCACCAGAAAGGCUUUGGACAAGCAAACACUGACUGAGAAAAGGACUCCAACAUUAACACUUUCUGUGUCAGCACUUCUGGAGAGAGGACAAAAAGACAAACAGACUUCUUCAGAUAUAAUGAAGAAAACAGGAAAAUCUGUGUCAAUGUCUGCUGUGAAAAAUUCUCCAGGAAAGUUUGGACCACAAGCGGACAACAGAAAAAAAGAGUGACUGGUUGACAAGGACGUGUUAAGGCUUCCUUCUGACACGUUAUGGAGGAUCUUAAGCAACACAAUUUUUCAGCACCACUUCCCCCCGGAAUGUUACAGCUACCAAUAAAAUAAGCAAGCUGCAAUUCA
ensembl:lncRNA